rnacentral:rRNA from 1 species
AUUGAACGCUGGCGGCGUGCUUAACACAUGCAAGUCGAACGGUAAGGCCCUUCGGGGUACACGAGUGGCGAACGGGUGAGUAACACGUGGGUGAUCUGCCCUGCACUUCGGGAUAAGCUUGGGAAACUGGGUCUAAUACCGGAUAGGACCACGGUCUGCAUGGAUUGUGGUGGAAAGCUUUUUGCGGUGUGGGAUGGGCCCGCGGCCUAUCAGCUUGUUGGUGGGGUGAUGGCCUACCAAGGCGACGACGGGUAGCCGGCCUGAGAGGGUGUCCGGCCACACUGGGACUGAGAUACGGCCCAGACUCCUACGGGAGGCAGCAGUGGGGAAUAUUGCACAAUGGGCGCAAGCCUGAUGCAGCGACGCCGCGUGGGGGAUGACGGCCUUCGGGUUG